ACUCUGGGUCGGCCGGCUCCGAGAGGGUCCUUUGAACUGUUGAAGUCGGCCGCUGUAAAGCGAUCCGAUGGAGACGACGCGAUGGGUGGCAUUUUCUGAUUCCUUACUGGUCGUUGAAGUGGUAUCGCACGCGCCGAUUCAAGUUGUUAAGGAUCGGAGUUUUUAAUUGGUUUGUGUGCGGGUAGUCCGAGAGCGUGGCGAUGCAUUUAGCUACAAGAUUAAAAAUCAGUUGGGGAACUGUGAGCAAACUUUAGUGUCAACGUGGAAAUUAAUGUGGCUGUCCAUCAGCCACAAAGGAUGUGGCUCGCGAACCUUUAUUACUUAGGAAUUGGGAAUGUAGUUUAGUUAGUAAGCGUUUGCUUAGCAUGUGCAAACCGCUGGGUUCACCCCCGGUACACAACACUGUGUGGUGGUGUGUCCACUCCUGUAAUCCCAGCGUUGAAGAGGUGGUGAUAAAAUUAUCAUAAAUUCGACGUUAUCCUCUAUUGCAAGCCAGCCUAAGCUACUAGGGAUCUGUCAGUAAAUCAGUGAGGAAGCCUGGAAAGAUGGCUCAGCGGAGAACACAGGCCAGGCUGUCCUUUUCCUGGACUCUCCUUUGACCCAUUUGCAUGGUUGACAGUUGUCUGUAACUUGAGUCCUAGGGGAAUCAUGCGCCCUCUUCUGGUCUUCAUGAUUACUGCAUGCAUGUGGUGCAGAGACCUCCCUGCACUCGAAACCCCUUACAAAUAAAAGAAAAAGGAGUUGGGUGUGGUGGGACACUCCCUUAAUUCCAGGACUCAGAAGGCGAAGGCAGUUGGAUCUCUUUGAGUUCAAAGCUAUCCUGGUCUUUAUAAACCUAGUCUCAAAAAAAAAAAGUGUGUGGUUUUUGUUUUGUUUUAUUUUGUUCUUAAUUAAAAAUAAGGGGUUUAGAGAUAACUCUGGUUCGGGAGCACUUGAUGCUCAUCCAAGCACACACAUGACAGGCAGAUCACAACCUUCUGUAACACUAGUGCCUCUUCUGGCCUCCAUAGACCUGCCCAAAAAUAGUACACUCAACUUGCAGGCAAGACCUUGAUACACAUU
rnacentral:lncRNA from 1 species